rnacentral:lncRNA from 1 species
AAAUAAUAUAGAUUUGUAGUAGUGAGUAGUAACACUGAGGUGCGGUGCUACAGAUUUCUGAUGGCUGGACGUAUGGGAAAUUUGGUCAAUCAUGUAAAACUCAACGGUGCAAAACAUUUUUACACAAUGCGCUAGAGAACAAGUUUAUUUACUUUUGAACUUUUUCUACAAACAGAAAUUUCUCGCAAUAUUUUUUAUUAAUAAUUGAAAGUCAAGUAUCAAACCGAUACGGAAAUAAGCCCACGUGAAACUCAUAUAUACCAAGGUAAAUUACCGACAGUCAAGAAGUUGCUUUCGACUUCAAGUUCUUCACCAUAUCAUCCCACCUCAGCAAUGAUCAACACCAUUUAGUAACUUCUUCUGAUUUACCCACCUGUCUCCAUCAGUCCAUAUGGUCCCCGCCUUCUUAUCAUGCUCCUUCACGCCUUGUUACUGCUGACAAACAAACCACAUGUAAAUAUCUUACAGUACAUAAUAUAUUUACAACCGCGCUAUGAAUAGAUAACUCCAAAUGUAGCUUUCAGAAUUGGUCAUGCAUUCUCUGUUUUCAUACCAAGAAUGCAUUUUAUAAUUGUACUGAAACCUGUAACUGUAAACAGUUCAGGUAUAGAAAAAAUAAAAGGCCUGUCACAAUAGCCCAGCAUAACUUUGUUUUCGGUUUGCAGGACGAAAAACUGCUAAUAUGGUACUCCAAAGAGAGGGAAAAAAGUCUGAGCUUGAGUUCUGUGUCAAGUGUGGUUCUCGGACAGAAAACGGUAUCUGGUUUUCUUCCCUAAACACUUUUUAUUGAUUUAAGUAUAAGAAGACAUACAUAUUCUUAGAAUGUCUGUAUUUGCAGACAAACCUUUUGCGUUUGCAUUGGCCAGAAAAGGAACAUCACUCCUUGUCAGUCAUAUACAAGAAUGGUGAAUGCUCACUGGACUUGGUAUUUCCUACUAGGCCUGGAAUUCUUGAGUUUAGAAUCUCUUUGCUCCUCGUAUCACCGCCUUUUCUAACAUCUAUUUACAAUCAUGUCUUCCAGAUCUGCAAAGACAAGGACCAAGCUGACUGCUGGCAUCUAGGCCUAACAGCCUUGGUAUCUGCUCUAUAUAGUCCUCUUCUUUUGGUUGAUUCAACAAGCAGCCGUCGGAUAAACAGUUGCGCAAAUAGCCCUCCUAGCUAUAUUCAGCAAAGGAAUAGGCUAUUUUCAGUGCAUGACACAAGAAAGUUCAGCCAGGUUAGAUUUGGAACCUAUGCAUGUCAUGAUUUCUAUGUGAUGUGAGAACAUGAUUACUUUGUUCAAGUAUGAGUUCACCAUGACCUGUGACCUUUCCUAGAUUACGCUAAGUAAAACUUUUGGUUUUCUGUUAAAAUCAGGGACAACCCACUGCUCGGCUCAGGAAAUUGCGAAAUUAAUAACCAACAUGUUGAGCAGUGUUACAAUUCUGGCCAUUUUGAUAAAUUAUCCUUUCCAAAUAUAUAAAUAAUAAUACAAUUAUUAGGUAACACCCAAACUAAUGUAAUGUCAAGUGGGUAAUGAUACACUUUGUGGAGCUGCAUAUUUUUCAUAACUACUCCCUCUGUAAAGUAAUAUAGGACUUUUUAGAUCACUAGUAAUCUAAAAAGUCUUAUAUUACUUUACAGAUGCAGUACUAAAUAAGGUGAUAUCACUGAUAACUUAUGAAAGACUGUAAAUUGCCAUUUCUUAGCCACUAGUAAUUUCAAAUUGUUAAAUUCAACUGAUAACUUAUGGAAGUAUCUAACUAAUUUAUUUAUGAAGGUACACUCACUGUAUGGCAGUCCUAGAUUGAUACAGAACAAAGUAUCGAAGAGCAGUCUGGAUUGCCCAGAAGCAUUCGUCUCUCCAAGGGAGAGAACGUGGUCAGAUGUAGAUUUCUACUUGGAAAGAAUUACUCCUGAAAUGGUAAACAGAGUUAAAAACAGUUUCAUGGAUAUUCCAGUGGCUGCAAAAAUUCAGGAGGGAAUUACCCAAAUGCCUAAACUGAAAGCUUCUGAAGGAUCCCACAUGGCAUGUGGAAUAGAUUCUCUGAAGGACAUCUUUGCCUGGGGAGAAAUUCCAGGCAGUGUGUUGGAGAAUGGAGAUGCACCAAAAGAUAAUGUUUCACUUCCAAGGUUAUUGAAGCCAACCCAGAUUCUGGACGUGCAGAACGUCGCCUGUGGGGAGAAACAUGCAGCAAUAGUUACUAAGCAAGGGGAGGUCUUCUCUUGGGGAAAGGAGAGUGGUGGGAUAUUGGGACACAAAAUGAGUGUCAGUGUCUCCGAACCUACGAUUAUCGAAUCUCUUACCUCUAUCCCUAUGAAGGCUAUUGCAUUUGGGGCAAAGCACACCUGUGCACUUGCAAUUUCAGGAGAACUUUAUGAGUGGGGUGAAGGGACUCACAGCUUGGGUCUGUGGGAUGAUCAGUGUCAAAGAAGCCAAUGGUUCCCACACAAACUGUUUGAUCCUUUGGAUGGCGUAUCGGUUCUGAAGAUCGCAUGUGGCCAAUGGCACACGGCUAUCAUAUCCUCCUCUGGUCAACUGUUCACAUAUGGCGAUGGAACAUUUGGUGUUCUUGGACAUGGCAACACGAUGAGCGUGGCUCGGCCCAAAGAAGUAGAGUCUCUGAAAGGGUUAAGAACCAAGGCUGUGGCAUGUGGGCCAUGGCACACAGCUGCCAUUGUGGAAAUAUUAGGUACUGUCAAGAGCAAUGCUCCUAGUGGGAAGCUGUUCACUUGGGGUGAUGCAGAUAAAGGAAAGCUGGGUCAUGCUGACCAAAAAUCCAAGCUUGUACCGACUUGUGUCGAGCCACUCACUGAUUCUGAUUUUGCUCAGGUAUCCUGUGCUAAGGCACUGACAGUCGCGCUUACAAUAACAGGUGUUGUUUUCACCAUUGGAAGCAUGGAACACGGACAAUUAGGCAACCGCCGAUUGAGUGACACAUCUAUUUGUUCGGUUGAAGGGCCUCUUAAGACUGAGUUUGUCAGAGAUAUAUCGUCAGGCUCUUCCCAUGUCGCAGUUUUGACAAUGAAUGGAAAGGUGUAUACCUGGGGCAAAGGCACAGAAGGUCAACUUGGUUUAGGUGACUAUACUGACAGGAGCUCCCCAACUCUAGUGGAGUCCUUGGAAGAUAAGCAAGUAGACAGUAUAGCCUGCGGUUCCAAUUUCACUAUUGCGGUUUGUUUACAUAGGUCUAUCUCAGGCAAGGAUCAAUCUGUAUGCAGCAGUUGUCAGUUGUCUUUUACCUUCACAAGGAAGAAGCACAACUGCUACAACUGUGGUUCCAUGUUCUGCAAUUCCUGCAGCAGUAACAAGGUUUCAAGGGCAGCUCUUGGACCAGAUAGGAGCAAAAGAUACCGUGUUUGCGAUGUGUGUUUCACUCAACUGCAGAAGAUUGAAGGACAUGGCACACUAAGUUCACAAUCAGCGAUCCAAAAGGAGGAGGCAUUUCCAACAGAAAUAAGACCAUAUACACCGAAGUUAUCACGCAUAUUCAAGGAAGCAAAUUCUAUCAUGGAAAAAAUGACAACGGCACAGGGUUCCAAUCAGAGAAAUCAGGACUUAGCUGCACCGGUUCAACUGAAAACACGGAGAUGGGGGCAAGUAGAGUGCCCCAGUCAAUUUAAAUGUGCACGAAACAACAUUCCAUGCUGUUCCAUACCAAAUAAACAGACAGUCGACGUUUCGCUUACACAGAGAAUGCCUGAACCAGUACCCCCAAAAGGUACCGGCUCUAUGCCAGAAGCAGCUACUAAUUUGAAAGCAGAAUUAGAUUCGACAGAGAAUAUAUUACUAGGAGAAGUAAAACAGCUUCAAGCACAGGUAAUUCAUAGAGUAUAACAUUGUUUGCAAUGUCAGAUUUUUUUUUGUCCUCCUUUUAAAUGAUACUCCCUCCGUCCCAUAAUAUAGGACGUUUUUUGACACUAGUGUAGUGUCAAAAAACGUCUUACAUUAUAUUUUCACUAACUAUUGACUUAUUUUUAUUUAAAAAUGUAAAGCAUUGAUCUUAAUAAUUAUGUUGUUCUCAUCUAAGCAGGUGACCACCCUAGCAGAACAAUGCCGGCGUAGGAGCCUGAAGGUUCAAAUGUACAAACGAAAAGUCGAGGAAACCUGGCUGAUUAUCCUGAAUGAAGCAGCAAAUUGCAAAGCUGCAAAAGAAAUUAUAAAGGUUUUAACCAAUCAGGUAUAACUUUGACCUAUGUCAAUUCCCUACCUAUUCAGAAACUGAGUAUUUAUAUAAAAUAAGUUGUCUGGCGCAAAUUGUGCAGAGGAAUACUUUAUCAAAGAAGAUUGAUUUAGCUGAUGGGCAAUAAUACAACUCCAUAACUAUACCUAGCCGCAUCAACGAUGGACAACCAGUAAAAGCAGAAUUACCAGACCCACCAGACAAAAACCCUGUCACCGGCAAAUUUCAACAGCUGAGCAGCAUCAGGGAUCACCAUCAGCAAGUGGACAGGGAACGUAUACAGUCUUCAAGCGCAGCUGUGGCGAAAGGCUCAGUCACGCAUAGAAAUGGCAGAAGAGCACCCACUAACAGCAAUACCUAUGCCGGGGAAAAUGAUGCCACCAUUCCUCCUGUUGAUCCCAAUGGCACGAUCGAGCAAAUCGAGCGCGGGGUGUAUGUGACCGUUGUCACAUCCCCCGGUGGAAACAAAGGCGUCAAGCGCAUCCGGUUCAGGUAACUCCAAAAAGGCCUUUGAUACACACACAUUCCCUAGAUAAUUUACUUGUGUGAUAAUAUGCUUUUUCAACAAUCCUACAGUCGGAAGCAUUUUGGCGAGAAGGAAGCACAAAAAUGGUGGGAAGCAAAUGAGAGCAAGGUGUUUGCAAAGUACAGCAGCACGGAACAGAUGAGAGAGUAACCAGCUGUAACAGCCGACUGACAUUGUAAAUGGCAAUGGAUUCCAAAUACUCCCUCCGUUCACAAAUAAAGAUGUUCUACCCUUUUUGUGAAUCGGAUGUAUAUAGACACGUUUUAGUGUGUUUGUUCACUCAUUUCAGUCCAUAUGUAGUCCAUAAUGAAAUAUCCAAACCAUGUUUUGCAAACCGAGGGGGUAGUAAAUACACUGAAAGAUGGUACUGUUCAGUAAUGACAAUACCUAGUGUCAAAAAACGUCUUACAUUAUGGGACGGAGGAAAGUACUCCCUCCGUUCCAAAUUACUCGUCGCAGAAAUGGUUGUAUCUAGAACUAAAAUACAUCUAGAUACAUCCAUACCUGCGACAAGUAAUUCGGAACGGAGGGAGUAGGUAAGUAGGAGUAGAUCCCCAUGGUUAACCCCUAUAUGAUGUACAGAGGGUAGGUCUGAGUUGAGUUGGAUUAUGGUUGUGAUGCCUCCUCUUGAGUGAUCCAAUCAUUCGGAACUUGGAUGUAAGUUUGUAGUGUGGAUUCAUGGGCGUUGCCUUCCUGAUCUGAGUCACAUAGUGGGAGAGCAAAGACGUACCGGAACGGCUGGUUUUGAAGCUCCCCGUCUGCUAGCACAGGUAGAAAUGGCGACUUUGGCAUGGCAAGGGUUCUCACUGAAGGUGUCCAGGCGCCUCCCAGUGACCCGCC